AUCUAAAUAGCUUAUAUAAGAGCAUGAUAUUGAAGAUAUCAAGGAAAUAAAUUUAUUUUUAGAUG
rnacentral:tRNA from 1 species